GUCUAUGCCCAUGCCACCCGCAACAAGCCCAAAUCAAACUCAUCUUGGAGUCUGAAGCUAAGCAGGGUUGGGCCUGGUUAGUACUUGGAUGGGAGACCACCCAGAAAGACCAGGUGCUGUAGGUG
ensembl:rRNA 5S_rRNA 5S ribosomal RNA